GUUUGUUGACUAGCUCAGUUGGUUAGAGUGUGGUGCUGAUAACGCCAGGGUUGCAGCUUCAAUCCCCUUUUGGGACA